CUUCCGCCCUCCCCGCACAGGAGGGUGGAUCGGAGGCACACGGCGCGCUCUGCCCUGACCGCUCCGUACGCCUCUUGAGGUCGGCUGCUCGGCCGACGAGCUCCGGGCUGCGGUGCCGGGUGGGUUGAGGGUCCCGCCCCGGCGC
rnacentral:ncRNA from 1 species